rnacentral:rRNA from 1 species
CCUACGGGUGGCAGCAGUGGGGAAUAUUGCGCAAUGGGCGAAAGCCUGACGCAGCGACGCCGCGUGAGGGAUGAAGGUCUUCGGAUCGUAAACCUCUGUCAGCAGGGAAGAACGGUCACUGUGCUAAUCAGCAGUGAAUUGACGGUACCUGCAAAGGAAGCACCGGCUAACUCCGUGCCAGCAGCCGCGGUAAUACGGAGGGUGCGAGCGUUAAUCGGAAUUACUGGGCGUAAAGCGCUCGUAGGCGGUAUGUCAAGUCAAGGGUGAAAUCCCCGCGCUCAACGUGGGAACUGCCUUUGAAACUGGCAAACUUGAGUGUGUGAAAGGAUAGUGGAAUUCCAGGUGUAGGAGUGAAAUCCGUAGAUAUCAGGAGGAACAUCGAUGGCGAAGGCGACUAUCUGGCACAUAACUGACGCUGAGGCGCGAAAGCGUGGGUAGCAAACAGGAUUAGAUACCCUAGUAGUC